GAUGAACGCUGGCGGCGUGCCUAAUACAUGCAAGUCGAGCGAACGGACGAGAAGCUUGCUUCUCUGAUGUUAGCGGCGGACGGGUGAGUAACACGUGGAUAACCUACCUAUAAGACUGGGAUAACUUCGGGAAACCGGAGCUAAUACCGGAUGAUAUUUUGAACCGCAUGGUUCAAAAGUGAAAGACGGUCUUGCUGUCACUUAUAGAUGGAUCCGCGCUGCAUUAGCUAGUUGGUAAGGUAACGGCUUACCAAGGCAACGAUGCAUAGCCGACCUGAGAGGGUGAUCGGCCACACUGGAACUGAGACACGGUCCAGACUCCUACGGGAGGCAGCAGUAGGGAAUCUUCCGCAAUGGGCGAAAGCCUGACGGAGCAACGCCGCGUGAGUGAUGCAGGUCUUCGGAUCGUAAAACUCUGUUAUUAGGGAAGAACAUAUGUGUAAGUAACUGUGCACAUCUUGACGGUACCUAAUCAGAAAGCCACGGCUAACUACGUG
rnacentral:rRNA from 1 species